GUGAGGAAUUUUGCGCAAUGGGGGCAACCCUGACGCAGCGACGCCGCGUGGAGGACGAAGUCUUUCGGGAUGUAAACUCCUGUCAGUGGGGACGAUAAUGACGGUACCCACAGAGGAAGCACCGGCUAACUCCGUGCCAGCAGCCGCGGUAAGACGGAGGGUGCAAGCGUUGUUCGGAAUUACUGGGCGUAAAGCGUACGUAGGCGGCAAGUUAAGUUCAAUGUUAAAGCCCACGGCUCAACCGAGGAGAUGCAUUGAAUACUGGCUAGCUAGAGGGUGUUAGAGGAAGACGGAAUUCCCAGUGUAGCGGUGAAAUGCGUAGAUAUUGGGAGGAACAUCGGUAGCGAAAGCGGUCUUCUGGGACACACCUGACGCUGAGGUACGAAAGCGUGGGGAGCAAACGGGAUUAGAAACCCUAGUAGUCC
rnacentral:rRNA from 1 species